rnacentral:rRNA from 1 species
CCUACGGGAGGCAGCAGUGAGGAAUAUUGGUCAAUGGGCGGAAGCCUGAACCAGCCAAGUAGCGUGCAGGAAGACUGCCCUACGGGUUGUAAACCUCUUUUAUACGGGAAUAACAAUGCCUACGUGUAGGCCUUUGCAUGUACCUUAUGAAUAAGCAUCGGCUAACUCCGUGCCAGCAGCCGCGGUAAAACGGAGGAUGCGGGCGUUAUCCGGCUUUAUUGGGUUUAAAGGGUGCGUAGGCCGGCUGUCAAGUGUGCUGGUAAAGGGCCGGGCUUAACCCGGGCCUGGCAGUGAGAACUGGCGUGCGUGAGUCCGCACAAAGUAGGCGGAAUUCGUCAUGUAGCGGUGAAAUGCUUAGAUAUGACGAAGAACCCCGAUAGCGAAGGCAGCUUGCUGCAGCGGAACUGACGCUGAUGCACGAAAGCGCGGGUAUCGAACAGGAUUAGAUACCCGUGUAGUC